rnacentral:rRNA from 1 species
UACGAAGGGGGCUAGCGUUGCUCGGAAUCACUGGGCGUAAAGGGUGCGUAGGCGGGUCUUUAAGUCAGGGGUGAAAUCCUGGAGCUCAACUCCAGAACUGCCUUUGAUACUGAAGAUCUUGAGUUCGGGAGAGGUGAGUGGAACUGCGAGUGUAGAGGUGAAAUUCGUAGAUAUUCGCAAGAACACCAGUGGCGAAGGCGGCUCACUGGCCCGAUACUGACGCUGAGGCACGAAAGCGUGGGAGCAACAGGGAUAGAAACCCUGUA